CUAUGCUCCAACCUCACUCUUCCCUGAUUUCUCCUCCUGGCAUUCCAGGCUCCUGGACCCCAGUAUCUUCUUCAGACUGAGGAUUUGACUUCUGCUUGGUCUCCUAGGGGAAUGGCUAUUUCUGGCCCAUAACAAAGAAAGGGUCGUCAGCAGGACACAGCCAUGAGCCUCGGCGUUUAUUCCUUCCUCUCUGGAGUGCCUUCCCCUACUACAGAGAUUUGAAAGCUUGAACUACAUUUCCCACAGCCCUUUGCAGUCAGGGUCCUGGUUACAAAAUCAGUUCUGUAAGAGAAGCACUUACAUGACGUUAGAAGACAGAAGGCAAACAGGAAAGACCAGUGUCCAGCCUCCUGCUCCAGUCGCAGCAGUGGCUGGAUUCAGCAUCCCCAUGGCCAGCCAUCAGCUUUCUGUGUCAAAAGGCAGCUGUCUCUACGACUGAGGAUUUAGGCCCACGGGCACUGGCAGCUCCCUAAUCCCAUCUUCCCGAUUCCCUGGGUCACAGCUAUGACAACGUGUUCCUGGAGUUAAUUUCCUGUUCCUUGGUAUUCUGGUAGUCAUUCCUGGAGACCCAGACUGGAAUUGAGCCAUCAGCCUCUUCAGAUGAUUUUGUAAAUCUUUAAGUGCCUGUAUUAAAU
rnacentral:lncRNA from 10 species